GACACUGGGAUUGCAGGCACGUAUAAUAAAAUGCAAACGUCUGUGUUAUUGUUAACUAUUGCCUAAGCAAAGUGCGAAGAUUUAAUAUAUUUUAUCUAUAGCUCUAGAAUCUCCCUGCAAACCAUGACUUUAUUCAAUGCCAAUUUUGGACCUUACAUUAUGUGAAGAAACAUGAUUUGGAAGCACAUUAUUUAACAUGUGAGCUUGCCUUAAUGAAACAGGCAAAUAAAGAGGAUGGCAUCUGCUGAUCCGUCUAGAUUUAGGGAGUGUAACCUAAUUUACAAUGAUACCACAACAACACAGUCUUCAUUUACAGAUGAAUCAUGGAACAUCCCAUCUGACCAACCCACCUUUAUACCAGAAGCAUUAAGAGCACAUGUAACACACAUGACGAUAUCUUGUGGCUUAACAAAGUCAAACAGAAGAGAGCAUAGAGAACAGGAAUGUAAAAGACUUUUGAGAAGAAGAAGCUGCUGAGGUGCUCAUGAAAACCUGAAAAGACUUUGGCUCUGGGAACUUCAGCAAUUAUAUUAGAGCAAAUGAAAACCCAAGGAAACCAGGUACUACAACUUUGCACCAAAAAUUACCGUUAAAAGAAAGGAAGGCACAGAGAGAGAUGGCCUUUCGAGUGGCUCAUCUUUCGUUUGAAGUAUAAUAGCGAGUGAAAAUGAUUUUUCGGGGAUUCUUCCAUUGUUUUGAACUGUUCUACAUGAAGGGCAAAGUUGAACUACGUUAUUAUUUUGCUGUAAAAUUUUAUGAAUUGCGCACGUUCAGGAUGGAGUUGUUAAACAAAAUUUUUGAGAUUUGGUCGUCAACAGGAUUCGUAUGAUAAAUAAAGAUUUCGGUAACCUGAAAGCUGUUCAGGAAUACAGGCAUCAUUUUAUCUGACUAAGCUUUUUCCUGUUGGUGGUUAACCCUGACAUUUAUCAUCAUCCGCGCUGAUUGCGACCUUCGCCCUGCCUACCGUUUACUUACCUUGU